UCCCUGGCAGUCCAGAGGUUAGGACUCCACACUCUCAGUGCUGAGGGUCCAAGUUCAAUCCCUGGUCAGGGAA
rnacentral:tRNA from 1 species